rnacentral:lncRNA from 1 species
UUAAAAAGAAAAUUCCGUAACAACAUAGUCAAACCAACUUCAGUUACAUAAUCCCAAAACCGAUAGUACAAGUCACAAGCCUUUCUAAGAGUAACUAUAAAUAAAGAGUAAGUCAUUUUUCCGGAAUAAUAGGAGACAAUGGAAAUAAAAUACAACACAAGGUGACUUCGGGCCCUGCGGACGUCGAACAAGUAUACCUUGAAGUCUCCAGCAGUGCAGAUAUAAAUCUUCAACCAAUUCAAUCAUAAGUACCUGGAUCUGCACCAAAAUGUGCAGAAGCAUAGCAUGAGUAUACCACAUCGGUACCCAGUGAGUAUCAAACCUAACAUCUGUAGAGUAGUGACGAGGCCAGGUCAAGACACCUACCGGACAUGAAAAGUUAUGCAGGAUAUGACAUAAAACUAAUAAGGAAAGAAUAUCAAUAUAAGGCCAACAAUAGAAAGAUUUCAAAUCACCAUCAACAUUGAAAAUAAGGUGAGCACGGAUGACAAUGAGAAUAUCCAAGUAACUAAGCAACAACAUAGUCAGGUACAAAUAAAAUAUAAAUGUGUUCAAGUAAGGUAAACCAAUGACAACUUAGUCAAUUAAAUCAUUCCAAAUGCACAAAUUUCAAUAAGAAUUACCUCGAGUAUCACAUCUUGUAAAUCUCAGAUUAUAAAUCACAACUUCCAAACCUCACACACAUGUCAACUUGUGCCUAUAUUUUUCAAAUCACUUUCGCACGAUAAAAUCCACGUGCUACCAUGUACCUUGUACCCGUAUCAAAUACUACUUUUAAAUAUCCAGGAAAUUUAAUCUCAUUCAUUAAAGCAUAAAAACAAACAGGUAUAAAGUAGGAAAUCAAUUGAGAAGAAUGAGUUUAUUUUAGAAAUCAUUUGGAUCAAGAAAAUAAUAUUUUCAAUUAAAAUAAAGCACCGGAUAACCACUGGAUUAAAUUUAGAGUUUGUUAAAUAAAAACAUAAUAAUGAUCCAUAUGUAAAUAAAAUCAUCAGAUAGGAUGAGGAGUUUAAUUUGGAAAAUUAAUUAAAGUGAAAUGCGUCAACUGUUAAGAAUAGUAAAGUACGUUAAAAAUUCUUUAACUUAAAAACCAAUGUGUUACCAAUAAUUCAAUCCUCGAAAUCAAUAAAUCCAAAAAUAUCCGUCCUCAGAAUUUUAUAUAAUAAAUACUGGAAGCUUACACAAUACAACAGUGAAUACAACAUACACAAUCCAUUGCGGCGCACAACCCGAUCCAAAAUAUAAAGUUUAAACAAAUCUGUUGCAGUGCGCAACCCGACCCCUCCAUAUAAUCACCGAUCCCUCCAUAUAAUUAUCUGUCAAUAUUAUAAUCCAUCCUUAUUCCACCAUUCCAUCAUUUUCAUUAUUGUUGCGGCGUGCAACCCAAUCUUACAUAUAUUAUCAUUUUCAUUACUGUUGCGGCGUGCAACCCGAUCCCAUACAGAUCAUCAUUUUCAUUAUUGUUGCGGCGUACAACCUGAUCCCACAUAUAUUAUCAUUUUCAAUACUGUUGCGGCGUGCAACCCGCUCACCAAGUAACAUAAUUUAAGCAAAUAAUUUACAACCAACUACGGCGUAUCACAAAAUCAAAAGGAAUAACAAGGCUACACAAAGAAGUCACAACUGAUGAGAAAGUUAUACGAUAACUCACGAAAUCAUUAGCAAGGAAUGACAAUCCAUAAAUCAAGACACAAUUUCUGAGAAUCAAUUAACAGUUAAGGCAUGUAGCAGAUAACACAUGAAUUCAACAAAUAAUUAAAAUCAUCAAUUAACAAAUAAGGAUGAACUUCACCAUGAAAGAUGGAACAUGUACUAAUAACUUCAAGUAAAGCACGUAAGGGCAAUCCUAACGACAAAAAAUAUAACAUGAAACGAUAAGUACAAUUAAUUGUAUGAAAGAAGCCUAACGGUCUUAUCCGGUCACAUACCACAUAUAAGUAAGUGUACACACUCGUCAUCUUGUGUACACGCUUUUCGCAUAAUUCAAACAAUAUCAUCAAUUCAAAGCCUAAGGGGUAGUUUUCCCAACACAAAGUUAGGCAAGAUACUUACCUUUACGAAGUUAGGCCGAUACUCUAAAUUGGCCUUCUCGCGUGAAACGGCCUCAGGAUAGCUCAAAUCUAACCAAAAUAAUUUCAUAAAAUAAAUAAAAUUCAUAGGAAAUAAUUCCGGAUAAUAAACGUCGACUUUUAAUUUUACACUAAAAAGUCAACCCGGGGCUCGCAUCUUGGAAUCCGAUAAAUUUUUACGAAAUUCGAACACCCACUCCGAUACGAGUUCAACCGUAUCAAAACUAUCAAAUUCCGAUAUCAAAUCACCCUUCAAAUCUUCAUUAUACAUUUUUGAAAGAUUUUCCAAAAUUUUGUUUUCUUCCAUCCGAUUCACAAAUUUAAUGACAUAAAUACGUAUAAAGUCAUGAAAUACAAUCCCUUUCAGUUAAGGAACACUUACCAAAAUUAAACUCGUGAAGAAUCCCUCCAGAAUCGCCCAAAAUCGAGGUUUAAAACUCCAAAAAUGAGUAAAUAUGGCAACCUCUAAUCCUUAAAUGUUUCUGCCCAGUUUUUGUACAUGCGGACAAUUAGCCGCUUCUGCGGCGUCGCUUAUGCCACACAAUUGUCGUUGAUGCGAAACAAUUGUCGCUUCUGCGGAAUCCACUGCCCAGUUGAGUUCUCGCACAUGUAGAAAGAAUUUCGCUUAUGCGCAAUCACAGGUGCGACCAGAAAUUGUGCUUCUACGCUUGCUUCGUUUUUGCAUCCCCAGGCACCGCAUCCAUGAUCACGCAGGUGCAGAAAAUACUUCCCACCUGCGACCACUGUCCAACCCUUCCAUUUUCACUUCUGCGAUCACUGUCUCUCCUAUGCGGUCUCGCACCUGCGGCCAAAUCCAUCGCAGGCGUGAUGGCACCAGUCCAGAAUUCCUCAUAAUUUUCCUAAGUCCAAAAUUUAAUUUGUUAACCAUCUGGAAUCCACUCGAGGCCCCCGGGACCUUAAACCAAAUGUACCAACACGUCCUAAAACACAACACGAAUUUAUUCGAGGCUUCGAAUCACAUCAAACAACGUCAAAAUUAUGAAUUGCACCUCGAAUGGAACUUAUGAAUUUUCAAAUCUUCCAACUUCUAUAAUUUGCGCCAAAACAUAUCAAAUCAAUCCAGAAUGACUUCAAAUUUUGUGCAUAAGUCAUAAAUGACAUAAUAGAGCUAGUCAAAUUUCUGGAAUAGAAAUCCGAGCCUGAUAUCAAUAAAGUCAACUCCUGAUCAAACUUAUGAAUAUUUCAAAACUCCAACUUUCUGAUAUUUUUUGACAAAAUACUUCAAAUUAUUCUACAGACAUCCAAAUUCAAAUCGGGACACACGUCUAAGUUCAUAAUCACCAUACGAAGUUAUUGGAACCACUAAAACUCCAUUUCGGAGUCAUUUACACAAAAGUCAAACUCUGUUCAACUCUUUUCACUUAAACUUUUAAAACAAGAAUUGUUCAUCAAAAUUGAUCUCAAAUCAUCCGAAAAUCAAACUCGACCACACACGCAAGUCAUAAUACAUUAUACAAAGCUGCUUGAGGUCUUAAGCCACCGAACGAAAUGCAAAUUUCUAAAACUACCGGUUCGGUCGUUACAUUCUCCCCCACUUAAACAUACGUUCGUCCUCGAACGUGCCACGUGUCGUUCCAAUGCCGUCGAAUCACUGUGUAACCUUACCAUGCACAUACCCAGGGGUGAUCUCACGUAACCCUAACUCAUGUAAGCCUGACCACACGAUAUAACUGAUGAUCAUUAUUUUGACUUUAGCCCAUAAACCUUGGAACCAAGUUCCCAACAUCCGAAAUUCCUUACAACACUCGAAAUUUCCUCCUAUGAAAAGCUUCUCAGUAUGCGGUAUGCCAUCCACAACCUCAUCCAAGUCAUCCCAGAAGCGUCUUUUAACCUCCUCGUCCAAGCCCAAUUGGGGUGCGUACCCACUAAUCAUGUUUAAAGUAAAAAAUCCAACGACUAGCUUAAUGCUCAUCAGCCUGUCACUCACCCUCCUAACCUCCACCACUAGCUCUUGAAAGUCCCUAUCAACCAAAAUGCCUACUCCGUUCUUGCCCCUCACGUGUUCAGAGUACCAUAGUUUAAACCCGUCUACAUCCCUUGCAUUAUCUCCUUUCCAUCCAGUCUCCUAGAGACAAGCUAUAUUGAUCUUUCUCUUAUGGAGAAUCUUUGUUAACUCUAUAUUGACUUCCUCAUCAAGGUCACUAUGUUUCAGGACCCAACUCUCAGCCUGAAUGCACCCUUACCACCCCUACCCCCAUGAGGACCCUCCCGAAAACAUGACCUUACCCUACCAUUGUUCAAUAUAGCCAUUAUAAUCAAGACACACUAAGACUUCGAGAAUACAGUACGAAACUAUAAAGCACAAAAAUAGGGAAAAUCACAGGUACUAAGAACGAUAAUAGCUGCAAGAUAAGUAAAAAUAAGAACCCUAAACGAUGCUAAUAGGCCCAAAAGCAAAUACAAGUGGUCUAAGCAAUACGAAUGAAUGAACAAACAAAUGAUCUAAACAAAUAAACCACGGAUAAAGCACAAUAAUUGAUAGAGAAUACCCUAAGAGCAAAGAACAAAUUUAAACAAAAUCUAACGAAACAGAGUUUAACCAAACAAGAAUGUAGAACCUGGUUAAAGAUCUGCCCGGAGUUGCUGGGUGACGACUUAAGAGGCUUGAAGACAUGUCUGAUGGUUCCCACAUGCCGGCAACUAAUCCAGAUCUCGUCGGAAUUGAGCUGCCUUGUUUCACACCUGAAAAAGAGAAAGAAGCGCCAAUAAUGAAAAGUCCUAUUGAUUUUUUUCAAUUUAGACAGCUUACAUGCUUUUCACGUGCUAAUUUGCGCCACUUAUGUGCUUCCUAUGCAAAUUAUGUAAAAUAUAACGGUUAUGUGUUUAAACAAAAUAGAAACCAAAGUGUUCA